UACAGAGGGUGCAAGCGUUAUUCGGAAUCACUGGGCGUAAAGAGCUCGUAGGCUGUUUACUAAGUCUAAUGUGAAAUCCCCGGGCUCAAUCCGGGAAGUGCAUUAGAUACUGGUAGACUUGAGUGCAGGAGAGGAAAGCGGAAUUCCAGGUGUAGAGGUGAAAUUCGUAGAUAUCUGGAGGAACAACAGAAGCGAAGGCGGCUUUCUGGACUGUCACUGACGCUGGGGAGCGAAAGCGUGGGGAGCAAACAGG
rnacentral:rRNA from 1 species